rnacentral:rRNA from 1 species
UUCCGGUUGAUCCUGCCGGAGGUCACUGCUAUUGGGAUUCGACUAAGCCAUGCGAGUCGAGAGGGUUCGGCCCUCGGCUGACGGCUCAGUAACACGUGGAUAAUCUGCCCUUAGGUGGAGGAUAAUCUCGGGAAACUGAGGAUAAUACUCCAUAGAUCUAGGAUGCUGGAAUGCAUUUAGAUUGAAAGCUCCGGCGCCUAAGGAUGAGUCUGCGGACUAUCAGGUUGUAGUCAGGAUAAAGACCUGACUAGCCUACGACGGAUACGGGUUGUGAGAGCAAUAACCCGGAGACGAUAUCUGAGACACGAUAUCGGGCCCUACGGGGCGCAGCAGGCGCGAAAACUUCACACUGUGCGAAAGCGCGAUGAGGGAAUCCCAAGUGCUUACUCGUAAGAGUAAGCUGUUUCUUUGUCUAAAAAGCAGAGAGAGUAAGGGCUGGGUAAGACGGGUGCCAGCCGCCGCGGUAAUACCUGCAGCUCAAGUGGUGAUCAUUAUUAUUGGGCCUAAAACGUCCGUAGCCGGUUUAGUAAAUGCCUGGGUAAAUCGUGUAGCUUAACUAUACGAAUUCCGGGUAGACUGCUAAACUUGAGACCGGGUGAGGCUAGAGGUACUCCUGGGGUAGAGGUGAAAUUCUGUAAUCCUAGGGGGACCACCAGUGGCGAAGGCGUUUAGCUAGAACGGGUCUGACGGUGAGGGACGAAGCCCUGGGGCGCAAACCGGAUUAGAUACCCGGGUAGUCCAGGGUGUAAACACUGCUUGCUUGAUGUUAGUUGGGCUCCGAGCCCAACUAGUGUCGGAGAGAAGUUGUUAAGCAAGCUGCCUGGGAAGUACGGUCGCAAGGCUGAAACUUAAAGGAAUUGGCGGGGGAGCACAGCAACGGGUGGAGCGUGCGGUUUAAUUGGACUCAACGCCGGA